GCUGACUUCUUGAGCAGCGGUAAUACAAUCAUGGUCGGUGAUAUCAAAGUCGAGCUGCUGAACGUUCACUCGGAGGGCAGCAAUAGCAUCACGACCCAAUGGAAUGAAAAACCGACCAAGUCCAAGAAAACUCCCCGAAAAAUUGAAUGUCAAGUUUGUAAGCUGGCAUUUGUCAAGGAGUCAAACCUCGAGAAGCACAUGAAUUUGAAGCAUUCCUCAAAACACGACGCCGAUGCUAUGGCUGCAGCCGUGGCCGCAACACGGCUGAGACACCCACAGAAGCGGCCAGGAGAAUUAAACCCCAUUUCUCCGAAGGAUAUUCGCAAACAGAUGAACAUGUACAUUGGGUCGGAAAAUCCGACUCACUACUGUUGUAAUAGGUGUAAUGCUCAGUUUCGCCAGUGGCACACAUUUCAGCGUCACAGAAAAACCCAUGACGAUGUAGACGGAGGAAGUAAUUUACAAAAUGGGACUUCGUCGUAAACGUUUAAGCAUUUCUUUAUUUAAGAAGCUUUACCAAACAAUAUUAAGAAAAUAAACAUGACUCAACAACCCUUUGAGUAAUGCGUCUUAGGAAACUUUGCAGAAUUGAUAAAUUCUCAAAUAGGGUUCCUUCAGCGCUGUUUGAUCAGCUGCCUUGUUCCAUUUUGAUUAAAUAGUAGAAUCCUUUGUUCGAUGUUGUUUUGUACGACCAUUAUAAUUGAAGACCUUCGCUUUUCUCAUCAGUGUACACCUUUCGAGCGAAAUAACAAGAUGCUCACUGCAUUGAACAGCAUUCCUGGAGGAGUUGCGGCUGCACCAGUGCCAGAAGUUCCACUGCACCUGGCCAGCAAGAAUGACUCAAAGCGAUAUCCCGAAUUCGUCAACUGUACCAUUGGAAUUCCUCCCAAGUUUGCCCGCGAGAAAGUCCACGCCAACGCCAUGAACGACGUCGCCAGUGACGAUCUACGUUUCUCCAAACAGAAGCCAGCUGCGGAAAAGUAAUAACAAAAA